GACGAACGCUGGCGGCGUGCUUAACACAUGCAAGUCGAACGGAAAGGCCCUGCUUUUGUGGGGUGCUCGAGUGGCGAACGGGUGAGUAACACGUGAGUAACCUGCCCUUGACUUUGGGAUAACUCCAGGAAACUGGGGCUAAUACCGGAUAGGAGCUCCUGCUGCAUGUUGGGGGUUGGAAAGUUUCGGCGGUUGGGGAUGGACUCGCGGCUUAUCAGCUUGUUGGUGGGGUAGUGGCUUACCAAGGCUUUGACGGGUAGCCGGCCUGAGAGGGUGACCGGCCACAUUGGGACUGAGAUACGGCCCAGACGCCUACGGGAGGCAGCAGUGGGGAAUAUUGCACAAUGGGCGGAAGCCUGAUGCAGCAACGCCGCGUGCGGGAUGACGGCCUUCGGGUUGUAAACCGCUUUCGCCUGUGACGAAGCGUGAGUGACGGUAAUGGGUAAAGAAGCACCGGCUAACUACGUG
rnacentral:rRNA from 1 species